CCCUGCAAAAAACAAAUAUUAAGAUGGAAUCAAGGAUAUGUACUUAACCAAAACAAAAAUUGUUCUCAGAUACAAGAAUGAUUGAAACAAGAAAACACAGUUCAGGAAAAUUUUAUAUCAUGACUAUAAGCCCAAAGGCUUCUGUAUGACAUGUGGCGGCAAUAAGCAUAUAUUGCAGGAUUUUUCUUAGAUAUCAGAGUUUAAAUGCCUCUUGAUAAUCAACUGUAAGAAUUAUCAAACCAAUUGUAAAUGGCUAAUAAAAUGGCUAGAGAUUAACACUUCUAGCUUAGCUUCAUGAAAUUCCAUAACAGGAUUCCGAACCAUAAAAAGAACGGUAGAUGGAAGCAUGAAUACCUGAUAAUAACUUAAAAAGGUAAUUCAAGUAUAAUCAAGUGUAAAUGUAUCACAAAAAAGGGGUGUUCAAGAAUUUAAUAUUGAUUUAACGUCUAAGAAGAAAAUUGUAAAACAAGGUUGAAGAGGUAGGGUCUACUACAUAGAUCAAUCUACAGCAUAUAUCAAGUAAAAAUGACAUGAAACUGAAUCAACAACAUUAACCAACCCUUACUCGGCAUUAAUCAAUGCAACUGGAUUUAAAAAACAAUUCUUUUAGUAAAACCGUUCAAAAGAAAAGGUCAUUUAUACUGGUUUCUCCUAAGAUUUAAUAGGUCUUCCCUUACCACUCUUAAUAGAACUAUUUUAAGCUUUUAAGUUUAGGAGAGUUGUUUUGUUCAUGACAUGAUGUCAGAGCCUCAGUGACCAUGAGUUCAAUCCUUAUGGCCUCCAUUAUUCCAAUAAAAAAGUUGAAUUUCAACAUGUGGUAAAAUGAGAUUGUGCAUUAUCUACACUGCAUUAUCUACCGGAUGCAUCUUGCCACCAAGAUUUGGUAAUUAGCAUCAGGAAAACUCAGCACCACAGUAAAGUGUGCAGCAAAGGCAAACAACUUAGUGAAAAAGAAAGGGGGUUACAGAUGAUAUGAUUGGUCGACUCAAAGCCCACCCCCAAGAAGGGUGGGGUGUAAAGAAGGUUUAUUUCAUGAUAGGAUAUAUUUAGAAUGUCUUUAGCAUUGCUAAGAGUCUGUACUUGACAAGAGAAACUAACCGGUGGAGUAAUUGAAGGCAAUGUUUGGGAGUGAGAAAUCACAAAAUUGCCAUUAGAAACGGGACAGGUUACUUCCUGACAUAGAUCAAUUCUUUCAGUGUGGACAGGCACCCCAAUGUAUGAAACUCCGAUUACCACCUCCCCACCAGAAAUAGCUUUUCCUGCAUAUAAGAUAGACAUAAACUCCAUUUAUAAUUUGUUAAAGCAAAUAAGUGAAACACUAAAUGAUGAAGCAAUAAGGAACAAAUACAGUACUAGGAUCAAUGUAUAUGAGAACCAAAAUAUUGUGAAUAGAUGGAUUAUUAUGUUCAUAAAGUUCAUUAGUACAAAAAAUAAAUAAAAAAAACAACAAUCAAAUGUAAGGUGGUCAACUAAAACAAUGUAAUUAUGCAUGUACAGUAAUCAUUAGUCACCACAUCAGACUACUAUCAUGCAUUUAAAAUAAGAGAAUAUAAGUUAUCUCCUUCUAGUGAAAGCAGGACAUAUGUCCUAUUUCAUCAUUUUCUAUAAAAAUAUUUCUAAAACAAAACAAAAUAAUACACAUGUCAUACUUGUAUUGACCAGAUGAGAUAAGUUAUUUCAUUGUAUGAGGAGUUUAUUGUCUUAAAAUAAAGGGUGAAAAAUGAAAAAUAAAUAGAAAAAGUAGAUUAAAAAAUGGAGAGAUUACCCGAAGAAGCUGAGAUCUUGAAGUUAGCCGGGUUACCACUGACAACAGGAUUUGGUGAUAUUUCAAUUCCAGACACUUUCACAUCAUAAUUUCCCUUCUUAUCUGCAUAUACAUUUUUUUAGCAAACAAAUAAAUAGACAAAAAAUUACCAAAAUCUAAAUCAAAUCUGAACAAACAUGACCCCAGCUUCCAGCACUGAAGCACACACAUGACACCACAAAAUCACACAAAAAUUAAACUCAACUUAAUAGAAAUCCACUACAUAAGAGUCAAAUCAACUACAUAAGAGUCAAAUCCACUAAAAUCCCUCAGAAUUGAAGAACUAUGCAAUUUCAUAAAAAUGAAAUUAAAGAAACACAGUAUAAGAUCCUAAUGUUGAGUUUAAGGAGAUUAAAUCCCACAAUAAAAAAUAUAAAAUUAAAAUAGUAAUAAAAAGAGUGAAAGGUAAGGGUGGAAGUACCGCAGUAUUUGAAGGUAACCUUAGCUUGAGCGAGAAAAGAAGAGAGGAAGAGGAUUGAGAAGGAUAGAAUAAGGUAGAGGUUGGGAAGAGAGUGAAAUGCCAUCGAUUGCACGAAGAUGAAGAAGAAGAAGAAGAACAACGGAGAGAGUUUAUGCUAACUGUUCUUACUAAACUCCAACACCAAACAUACACAUAGUCAAAUAAGAAUAUUAAUAAUUAUUUCAAAGUUAAACAAUGUGAGGAUGGGAGAAUAAGACUAGUCUCAGUCUCUUAUUAUUAAUUUGAGUAUUUAAUAAGUAAUUAAUCUCUAGGCAUUGUUCUGAAUUAAAAAUUUGACAUUUUGAUACUAUAAAUUGUUCUCAUAAAUUGCCAUUUUUGUUUAACUCUUUCCCAAUAGGCUACAACAAGUUCUAAUAAUUAUUUGGUUCAGGUUGGUUUCCCUCCACGUGUAAAACCAUUGCCUAUAUGAAGCAUAAUAAUAAAUCUAGACAAAAAAUCAAAUGAAAUUAUCUGACAUAAAUUACCAUUAUUAAUCCAUUUUCUACAAAAAGAAAGUAGGUUGAGGUAAUAAGUAACUUCUACUUCUUAAGUCAAGGAGACUUUUGGUUGUUUAGAUGUUAUGAUCAUCUUAAGGUAGAUUCACAACAAUUCCAAGAAAAACCUAUAAUUGCAAUAAGAAAAGUUCAAAUCCUAAAAUAAAAUACUAUAUAACAUUGUGCUCUCUGAUUGUUUCACUAUUUUUUAAAAAGAAUUAACCAUGUGAUGACUAUUGAAGAGAUGUUAAUAUCAUAAUUGUGGUAAUUUUGAUAAGAAUCUUCAUUUUUUUAAUAUGUUAAGACUACCUAUUAUAAAUAUAUAUAAUCACAUAUUACAAUUAUCAUUUCAUAACAAUCAUAAGGUCACAGAUCUAUCAAUUGUUUGAUAAUUUUCAAAGUAAACAUAAUCUUUAGUUUGUAAUUGGGCCUCUAAACCUAAAAAUUGUUCAUAAUUGAGUCAUUGUAUAAGGGUUCAAUAUUAGGGUAAGAUUUCAAAUGUUGAACUUUACACAUUAAUGUUGACCUAUAAUUUCUCAUCCAAGUACUUUUUUUCCAAAAACCUUCUGAAAUCCCAAGGGAAGUCACAUUUGAUGACCUUUCAAUUUACAUCUUAAAGAUUAAUUUUUCAAGUGUCAACCUUUUCUUAUUCAGUUUAUACAAUCAUAUACAAAUUAUAAUUCUAAUCUGAAUUCAUAAAAAGGUUUUCUGUCAUUGACACAACAUAUGUUUAUGUCAUUGAUAUGACUGUUCAUGUUCAUUUUUAUUCCAAAGAUUACUUUUGAAAGAUGACACACAACAUACUUUACAAUAACACAGUCAUACAACGAAGCAAAGUAGGCACCAGAUGAAGAUCAACCGUGGAAAUGACACUUCAGAUAUCAGACACUAAUGAUCCAAAAACAAUUUUGAAAUUAAACUUGAUGCAAGUUAACAACUCGCCAUUGUCAUCCUUCAGCGUCAUCUUCAAAGCAUAGGGUCCCUGCAAAAAACAAAUAUUAAGAUGGAAUCAAGGAUAUGUACUUAACCAAAACAAAAAUUGUUCUCAGAUACAAGAAUGAUUGAAACAAGAAAACACAGUUCAGGAAAAUUUUAUAUCAUGACUAUAAGCCCAAAGGCUUCUGUAUGACAUGUGGCGGCAAUAAGCAUAUAUUGCAGGAUUUUUCUUAGAUAUCAGAGUUUAAAUGCCUCUUGAUAAUCAACUGUAAGAAUUAUCAAACCAAUUGUAAAUGGCUAAUAAAAUGGCUAGAGAUUAACACUUCUAGCUUAGCUUCAUGAAAUUCCAUAACAGGAUUCCGAACCAUAAAAAGAACGGUAGAUGGAAGCAUGAAUACCUGAUAAUAACUUAAAAAGGUAAUUCAAGUAUAAUCAAGUGUAAAUGUAUCACAAAAAAGGGGUGUUCAAGAAUUUAAUAUUGAUUUAACGUCUAAGAAGAAAAUUGUAAAACAAGGUUGAAGAGGUAGGGUCUACUACAUAGAUCAAUCUACAGCAUAUAUCAAGUAAAAAUGACAUGAAACUGAAUCAACAACAUUAACCAACCCUUACUCGGCAUUAAUCAAUGCAACUGGAUUUAAAAAACAAUUCUUUUAGUAAAACCGUUCAAAAGAAAAGGUCAUUUAUACUGGUUUCUCCUAAGAUUUAAUAGGUCUUCCCUUACCACUCUUAAUAGAACUAUUUUAAGCUUUUAAGUUUAGGAGAGUUGUUUUGUUCAUGACAUGAUGUCAGAGCCUCAGUGACCAUGAGUUCAAUCCUUAUGGCCUCCAUUAUUCCAAUAAAAAAGUUGAAUUUCAACAUGUGGUAAAAUGAGAUUGUGCAUUAUCUACACUGCAUUAUCUACCGGAUGCAUCUUGCCACCAAGAUUUGGUAAUUAGCAUCAGGAAAACUCAGCACCACAGUAAAGUGUGCAGCAAAGGCAAACAACUUAGUGAAAAAGAAAGGGGGUUACAGAUGAUAUGAUUGGUCGACUCAAAGCCCACCCCCAAGAAGGGUGGGGUGUAAAGAAGGUUUAUUUCAUGAUAGGAUAUAUUUAGAAUGUCUUUAGCAUUGCUAAGAGUCUGUACUUGACAAGAGAAACUAACCGGUGGAGUAAUUGAAGGCAAUGUUUGGGAGUGAGAAAUCACAAAAUUGCCAUUAGAAACGGGACAGGUUACUUCCUGACAUAGAUCAAUUCUUUCAGUGUGGACAGGCACCCCAAUGUAUGAAACUCCGAUUACCACCUCCCCACCAGAAAUAGCUUUUCCUGCAUAUAAGAUAGACAUAAACUCCAUUUAUAAUUUGUUAAAGCAAAUAAGUGAAACACUAAAUGAUGAAGCAAUAAGGAACAAAUACAGUACUAGGAUCAAUGUAUAUGAGAACCAAAAUAUUGUGAAUAGAUGGAUUAUUAUGUUCAUAAAGUUCAUUAGUACAAAAAAUAAAUAAAAAAAACAACAAUCAAAUGUAAGGUGGUCAACUAAAAC
rnacentral:lncRNA from 1 species